GAAAAGCACAUGGUUCAUCACUGAAGGAGCUCCAGGAAGGAAGGGGUGACAGACACUUCCAAAUCAAAAGCUUUGUGAUCAGGAAGAUGAACAGCAGCCAAAGUAGCUGUUCCCCAGCACCUGUGGUGUAUUGCUUCUGUUCCUUUGAAGGCUCACUGGAUUGUCUUCCUUAAGAAAACUACAACAUCCAUCCUUCCCGUUCCCCUUGAAAACUGACACCUUUGCAGCAAAGGAUGUAACAGCCAUGAUACCACAGAAAAAGAAGGCUGGUACGCAAAGCAGACAGUUCACUGAGGUUAAAGAUAUUGAUAAUAAUGAUGAGAAAGGAAAGAAGGAAAUCAUAAGAAAAAUAAACUGAUAUCAACCUAUGACUGCACCCAAACCAUCAAGAUAUUUUCAUGCAAUAGUCAUGUGCAGUGACCAGUGGAGUAUUUAGACUACACCCUACAUACUUAUGCUGGUCAAGGUAAGGUCUAAGAUAUGCAGAUUGCUUUUGCAACAGGCAGUGUUGAGGUUUGUUCUAAGGCUUCAUUCCCAUGGGAAUUUAUUUUGCACUAGGUCAGUGUUGAGGGAGCUCUGUCUAUUGCACUGACACAGAUGUUUUACAAAAGCAGCUGCUCUGGCUGGGAAGAUUCUAAUACACUCAUUUCAUUUGAGCUUUCUUCUCUGGAUACUACCAGUGGAUUUGCUAUGCCUUUAAUUUUUCCCCUUUCA
ensembl:lncRNA